GUACUACUCCCUCCGUCCGAAAAUACUUGUCGUCAAAAUGAAUAAAAGGGGAUGUAUCUAGAUAUAUUUUAGUUUUAGAUACAUCCCUUUUUGUCCAUUUUUAUGACAAGUAUUUUUGGACGGAGGGAGUACUUC
rnacentral:pre_miRNA from 1 species